AUGAAGUGCCUGCGCGUGCUGAUGGUCUCCGAGCCUCUCCUAGCAGAUCUUCCUAAACUGAAGCACCUCCGUUACCUUGAGAUCCAUGUUGACGACAAUUAUGGAAAUGCGUCUCUUCCAGAAUCUAUAUGCAAGUUAUAUCAGCUGCAGACAUUGAUCACAAGGUUCUGUGGCAACAAAUUGUCAAUGCCGAAGAAUUUCAAACAAUUAAUCAGCCUGCAGUUCCUCGAAACUGAACCGGAAGCAGUAUGCACAAUUGCUGAUAUUGGAAAGUUGACUUCCCUGCAAGAAAUUAAUACCUUUGAGGUUGGCAAUAAUGACAAAUUUGGCAUUAAUCAACUGGAAAAUAUGAACAAGGUCCAUGGUAGUCUUUGCAUCAAAGGACUUGAGAUGGUGGAGGGCAAGGACGAGGCUUUGAAGGCAAAGCUAGACAAAAAGGAGUAUAUCGAAACAUUAGAUCUGCGCUGGAAGCUUGUGAGCGAGAGAACUGAGUCCAUGAUGACUACUGCACACGAAGUGCUGGAAGGCCUUCAGCCACACUGCAAUCUUAGCAAGCUCAUAAUAAAUGGCUACACAGGCAUGCAACCCCCAAACUGGCUGAAGGGGGCCCAGGCCCAGGAGCUAAAUCUUAAGUGCAUCGAGCUCUCAAAUUGCAGUGGAUGGAAGGACCUUCCACCUUUUGGCAUUCUACCAUACCUCAAGGUCUUGCAUCUAAGGCAGAUGAGAUCUCUGCGGCGGAUCGGGGAAGAGAUAUAUGGCCAAGACAUCCCAUCUGGAUUUCCACAGCUGCAUGAGCUCUUGUUUGAAGGCCUCUGUAAUUUAGAGGAAUGGUUCUUGCCCAACAGAGACAUCCAGUUACUUCCCAAGCUUCGCAGUCUGUCCAUAACCAAUUGCGGCAAACUGAAGGGACCCCAAGCCCUUCCAUAUUUAUUAGAGAAGUUGCCAUCUGUGGUCAUCAAGAACUGCCUCAACAUCGGUAAAGACUAUAUCCGUCCCUCUAUGACCAUUGGCAAGCCAAUAUUGAAGAAAGAUGUGGAAUGCAUCAGGACUAGCCCUGUUUAUUGUCAAAAACCUGCAUCCCUGAAACGGAAAUUUGCUGAUAGAUCAUGA
rnacentral:rRNA from 1 species